ACCCCAGCAAGACGGCGUCUGAUGAGAGAUUUUAAACGUCUCCAGGAGGAUCCACCAGCAGGAGUUAGCGGAGCCCCGUCGGAAAACAACAUCAUGGUCUGGAACGCUGUCAUUUUUGGCCCUGAAGGAACACCCUUUGAAGAUGGUAAGU